GAGAUUAGACAAAGUCCUGCCGCAAGCCUGACCGGCUUCCUGCAGACCGCUUGGAGAAGAUCACCCUGGACACAGGGACCAGCUAAGAAAAAAAUGGGUAUCACAUCACGUACAAACGUCAUAUCACUUCCAGUCCCAUUGUCCCCUGGAAAUAUUCUCCCGACGGUCUCAUUAGAGAUUGUGAAGAGCUGGGGACAACAGUGUGUCACAGAUACCCUCCAGAGAACACAGUCCUCGGCUUGCCACCAGGAGUGUUGAAACCCACGUCCACAUCAUCUGUCUGGAGGGGGAAAGCAAUCUCUCUCUUCCCCAUCUUGGGUUCCUGGCUGAGAUCCCUGUGACAAAAAAAAAACAGAUCCGUGAAAGAGAAGUGUGAGAAUGUCUUUAAUAUCCGUUUUAUGGGACACGGAAGAUCUCAUGAGGAAACAGAGACCCAGUGAAAAAAGUAGACCCGUGUGUUUUGUAUUUGUAUUUUUUUAAGAUGGUAAGGCACACUUGAUUCCUGAGAGGCCAUGGUGAGAGGUUCGGGGGCUGCUGGAGUGGGGUCUUGAACGGGGGGGGCAACAGACUAGACUGGGUUCAACUGUGUUUGCGCUAGUUUAGGGGACCAAGUGGAUGGUCAUGAAGAAGUGUCUGGAUAACGUGUGAUCUCGUGUUAAUAAAGUGAGGGGAACUCACAAGGCCUGGAUCUUCA